GAAGAAGAAGAAGAAGAAGAAGGCUGUUAAUCAUAGACUAAAAGUGUUAUCUUCAAUAGAAGGAGAUUGCUAUAUAAAAGCUUCCGUCUGUGCUUUGUCUCAAUUGGUACUAUAAUCUCAUCAAUAGAAUUCAGCUGCUUCAAUAUGUAAAUACAAAUUAUAAAUCCAAAAUCUAUAAGAUGGCAACAGAUCAAAAUAAUAAAAAUAAACAGUUGCAGUUCUUUUUGUAAAAUAAUAAAAAUUUGUGGCAACAGAUAUUACCAGUAUGAGGCAAGCAAUCUCACCUCUUGGCACAGAUCUAAAGCAAGUCGAACUCCAGUGCUUCCUUCUCGUGGUUAUCUUUCACUUCCAAGUUGAUCACCAGCACACUUUUCAUAAGAGCU
rnacentral:misc_RNA from 1 species